rnacentral:rRNA from 1 species
AUUGAACGCUGGCGGCAGGCUUAACACAUGCAAGUCGAGCGGGGGAGGUUGCUUCGGUAACUGACCUAGCGGCGGACGGGUGAGUAAUGCUUAGGAAUCUGCCUAUUAGUGGGGGACAACAUUCCGAAAGGAAUGCUAAUACCGCAUACGCCCUACGGGGGAAAGCAGGGGAUCUUCGGACCUUGCGCUAAUAGAUGAGCCUAAGUCGGAUUAGCUAGUUGGUGGGGUAAAGGCCUACCAAGGCGACGAUCUGUAGCGGGUCUGAGAGGAUGAUCCGCCACACUGGGACUGAGACACGGCCCAGACUCCUACGGGAGGCAGCAGUGGGGAAUAUUGGACAAUGGGCGGAAGCCUGAUCCAGCCAUGCCGCGUGUGUGAAGAAGGCCUUUUGGUUGUAAAGCACUUUAAGCGAGGAGGAGGCUCUUAAGGUUAAUACCCUUGAUGAGUGGACGUUACUCGCAGAAUAAGCACCGGCUAACUCUGUGCCAGCAGCCGCAGUAAGAC